GAUGAACGCUGACAGAAUGCUUAACACAUGCAAGUCUACUUGAAUUUGGGUUUUUUAACUUAGAUUUGGGUGGCGGACGGGUGAGUAACGCGUAAAGAACUUGCCUCGCAGCUAGGGACAACAUUUGGAAACGAAUGCUAAUACCUGGUAUUAUGAUUAUAAGGCAUCUUAGAAUUAUGAAAGCUAUAUGCGCUGUGAGAGAGCUUUGCGUCCCAUUAGCUAGUUGGAGAGGUAACGGCUCACCAAGGCGAUGAUGGGUAGCCGGCCUGAGAGGGUGAACGGCCACAAGGGGACUGAGACACGGCCCUUACUCCUACGGGAGGCAGCAGUGGGGAAUAUUGGACAAUGGACCAAGAGUCUGAUCCAGCAAUUCUGUGUGCACGAUGACGUUUUUCGGAAUGUAAAGUGCUUUCAGUUGGGAAGAAAAAAAUGACGGUACCAACAGAAGAAGUGACGGCUAAAUACGUG
rnacentral:rRNA from 1 species